UACGAAGGGGGCUAGCGUUACUCGGAAUUACUGGGCGUAAAGCGUGCGCAGGCGGUUGUGCAAGACAGAUGUGAAAUCCCCGGGCUCAACCUGGGAAUUGCAUUUGUGACUGCACGGCUAGAGUGUGUCAGAGGGGGGGUAGAAUUCCACGUGUAGCAGUGAAAUGCGUAGAGAUGUGGAGGAACACCGAUGGCGAAGGCAGCCCCCUGGGCUAACACUGACGCUCAUGCACGAAAGCGUGGGGAGCAAACAGG
rnacentral:rRNA from 1 species